GAUAAAUACUAGAUGAAUAUAAAUUUUUAGACAUAGGAGAAUAGAAUAUAAUUAAAAUCGAUAUGAAGAACAAACAUGAAUAUAUUAACAAAGAAUAUGAA
rnacentral:snoRNA from 1 species